rnacentral:lncRNA from 1 species
UAGUCGAUACUUACAAAUAAUUUUGGAUGAUUACGUGAACUUGUAAUAGUGAAAUUAAAUUUCAAAUAUAUCUUCACCAUUCAUUAUCUAAAUAAUUAUCAUUAAAGUAUCCUUACAAAAGAUCACUUUGAUCCGGUAGCCCUUGCUUUGUCGAUUAUUAAAAUUUAAUUUCGAUGGCCACGAAUGAUCACAUGAUGAUCUGAUAGAUAGAGACUA